AGCAGCCGCGGUAAUUCCAGCUCCAAUAGCGUAUAUUAAAGUUGUUGCAGUUAAAAAGCUCGUAGUUGAAUUUCGGGAUUGACACAUCGGUCGUGCCUUAAGGGGUAUGAACUGGUGUAGUCAAUUUCUCACCUUCUGGAGAACCGCGAUGCCCUUAAUUGGGUAUCGCGGGGAACCAGGACCUUUACUUUGAAAAAAUUAGAGUGUUUAAAGCAGGCAUUUUGCUUGAAUACAUUAGCAUGGAAUAAUAAAAUAGGACGGCAUGAUUCUAUUUUGUUGGUUUCUAGGAUCACCGUAAUGAUUAAUAGGGAUAGUUGGGGGCAUUAGUAUUCAAUUGUCAGAGGUGAAAUUCUUGGAUUUAUUGAAGACUAACUACUGCGAAAGCAUUUGCCAAGGAUGUUUUCAUUAAUCAAGAACGAAAGUUAGGGGAUCGAAGACGAUCAGAUACCGUCGUAGUCUUAACCAUAAACUAUGCCGACUAGGAAUCAGACGAUGUAAUUUUUUAAUGACUCGUUUGGCA
rnacentral:rRNA from 1 species